AUUGAACGCUGGCGGCAGGCUUAACACAUGCAAGUCGAACGAGUGGCGGACGGGUGAGUAAUGCUUGGGAAUCUGGCUUAUGGAGGGGGAUAACUACGGGAAACGGUAGCUAAUACCGCGUACCAUAAGAUGAUCCCAAGUGGGAUUAGCUAGUUGGUGGGGUAAAGGCUCACCAAGCCGACGAUCUCUAGCUGGUCUGAGAGGAUGACCAGCCACACUGGGACUGAGACACGGUCCAGACUCCUACGGGAGGCAGCAGUGGGGAAUAUUGCGCAAUGGGGGCAACCUGACGCAGCCAUGCCGCGUGAAUGAAGAAGGCCUUCGGGUUGUAAAGUUCUUUCGGUAGCGAGGCGUUACCUACAGAAGAAGCACCGGCUAACUCCGUGCCAGCAGCCGCGGUAAUAC
rnacentral:rRNA from 1 species